rnacentral:rRNA from 1 species
AUUGAACGCUGGCGGCAUGCUUUACACAUGCAAGUCGAACGGCAGCGGGGGCUUCGGCCUGCCGGCGAGUGGCGAACGGGUGAGUAAUGCAUCGGAACGUGCCCAUGUCGUGGGGGAUCACUACGCGAAAGCGUGGCUAAUACCGCAUACGCCCUGAGGGGGAAAGCGGGGGAUCUUUCGGGACCUCGCGCGAUUGGAGCGGCCGAUGUCGGAUUAGCUAGUUGGUGGGGUAAAGGCGCACCAAGGCGACGAUCCGUAGCUGGUCUGAGAGGAUGAGCAGCCACAGUGGGACUGGGACACGGGCCAGACUCCUACGGGAGGCAGCAGUGGGGAAUUUUGGACAAUGGGCGCAAGCCUGAUCCAGCCAUGCCGCGUGAGUGAAGAAGGCCUUCGGGUUGUAAAGCUCUUUCGGCCGGGAAGAAAUCGCAUUCUCUAAUAUAGGAUGUGGAUGACGGUACCGGACUAAGAAGCACCGGCUAACUACGUGCCAGCAGCCGCCGUAAAAC